UCUUCAUUUCACGUGCUCUCUCGCUGGUUAGAGUGACGAUAGAGUGUGCGAAAUGAAGAGA
rnacentral:pre_miRNA from 1 species